rnacentral:rRNA from 1 species
UUGAACGCUGGCGGCAUGCCUUACACCUGCAAGUCGAACGGCAGCACGGGUGCUUGCACCUGGUGGCGAGUGGCGAACGGGUGAGUAAUACAUCGGAACAUGUCCUGUAGUGGGGGAUAGCCCGGCGAAAGCCGGAUUAAUACCGCAUACGAUCCACGGAUGAAAGCGGGGGACCUUCGGGCCUCGCGCUAUAGGGUUGGCCGAUGGCUGAUUAGCUAGUUGGUGGGGUAAAGGCCUACCAAGGCGACGAUCAGUAGCUGGUCUGAGAGGACGACCAGCCACACUGGGACUGAGACACGGCCCAGACUCCUACGGGAGGCAGCAGUGGGGAAUUUUGGACAAUGGGCGAAAGCCUGAUCCAGCAAUGCCGCGUGUGUGAAGAAGGACUUCGGGUUGUAAAGCACUUUUGUCCGGAAAGAAAUCCUUGACUCUAAUACAGUCGGGGGAUGACGGUACCGGAAGAAUAAGCACCGGCUAACUACGUG